rnacentral:rRNA from 1 species
GAUUAAGUUAUUAAGGGCGCACGGUGGAUGCCUUGGCACUAGAAGCCGAUGAAGGACGUUACUAACGACGAUAUGCUUUGGGGAGCUGUAAGUAAGCUUUGAUCCAGAGAUUUCCGAAUGGGGAAACCCAGCAUGAGUUAUGUCAUGUUAUCGAUAUGUGAAUACAUAGCAUAUCAGAAGGCACACCCGGAGAACUGAAACAUCUUAGUACCCGGAGGAAGAGAAAGAAAAUUCGAUUCCCUUAGUAGCGGCGAGCGAAACGGGAAGAGCCCAAACCAACAAGCUUGCUUGUUGGGGUUGUAGGACACUCUAUACGGAGUUACAAAGGACGACAUUAGACGAAUCAUCUGGAAAGAUGAAUCAAAGAAGGUAAUAAUCCUGUAGUCGAAAAUGUUGUCUCUCUUGAGUGGAUCCUGAGUACGACGGAGCACGUGAAAUUCCGUCGGAAUCUGGGAGGACCAUCUCCUAAGGCUAAAUACUCUCUAGUGACCGAUAGUGAACCAGUACCGUGAGGGAAAGGUGAAAAGCACCCCGGAAGGGGAGUGAAAUAGAACCUGAAACCGUGUGCUUACAAGUAGUCAGAGCCCGUUAAUGGGUGAUGGCGUGCCUUUUGUAGAAUGAACCGGCGAGUUACGAUUUGAUGCAAGGUUAAGCAGUAAAUGUGGAGCCGUAGCGAAAGCGAGUCUGAAUAGGGCGUUUAGUAUUUGGUCGUAGACCCGAAACCAGGUGAUCUACCCUUGGUCAGGUUGAAGUUCAGGUAACACUGAAUGGAGGACCGAACCGACUUACGUUGAAAAGUGAGCGGAUGAACUGAGGGUAGCGGAGAAAUUCCAAUCGAACCUGGAGAUAGCUGGUUCUCUCCGAAAUAGCUUUAGGGCUAGCCUCAAGUGAUGAUUAUUGGAGGUAGAGCACUGUUUGGACGAGGGGCCUCUCGGGUUACCGAAUUCAGACAAACUCCGAAUGCCAAUUAAUUUAACUUGGGAGUCAGAACAUGGGUGAUAAGGUCCGUGUUCGAAAGGGAAACAGCCCAGACCACCAGCUAAGGUCCCAAAAUAUAUGUUAAGUGGAAAAGGAUGUGGCGUUGCCCAGACAACUAGGAUGUUGGCUUAGAAGCAGCCAUCAUUUAAAGAGUGCGUAAUAGCUCACUAGUCGAGUGACACUGCGCCGAAAAUGUACCGGGGCUAAACAUAUUACCGAAGCUGUGGAUUGUCCUUUGGACAAUGGUAGGAGAGCGUUCUAAGGGCGUUGAAGCAUGAUCGUAAGGACAUGUGGAGCGCUUAGAAGUGAGAAUGCCGGUGUGAGUAGCGAAAGACGGGUGAGAAUCCCGUCCACCGAUUGACUAAGGUUUCCAGAGGAAGGCUCGUCCGCUCUGGGUUAGUCGGCCCUAAGCUGAGGCCGACAGGCGUAGGCGAUGGAUAACAGGUUGAUAUUCCUGUACCACCUAUAAUCGUUUUAAUCGAUGGGGGGACGCAGUAGGAUAGGCGAAGCGUGCGAUUGGAUUGCACGUCUAAGCAGUAAGGCUGAGUAUUAGGCAAAUCCGGUACUCGUUAAGGCUGAGCUGUGAUGGGGAGAAGACAUUGUGUCUUCGAGUCGUUGAUUUCACACUGCCGAGAAAAGCCUCUAGAUAGAAAAUAGGUGCCCGUACCGCAAACCGACACAGGUAGUCAAGAUGAGAAUUCUAAGGUGAGCGAGCGAACUCUCGUUAAGGAACUCGGCAAAAUGACCCCGUAACUUCGGGAGAGGGGUGCUCUUUAGGGUUAACGCCCAGAAGAGCCGCAGUGAAUAGGCUUUCAAGCGACUGUUUAUCAAAAACACAGGUCUCUGCUAAACCGUAAGGUGAUGUAUAGGGGCUGACGCCUGCCCGGUGCUGGAAGGUUAAGAGGAGUGGUUAGCUUCUGCGAAGCUACGAAUCGAAGCCCCAGUAAACGGCGGCCGUAACUAUAACGGUCCUAAGGUAGCGAAAUUCCUUGUCGGGUAAGUUCCGACCCGCACGAAAGGCGUAACGAUUUGGGCACUGUCUCAACGAGAGACUCGGUGAAAUCAUAGUACCUGUGAAGAUGCAGGUUACCCGCGACAGGACGGAAAGACCCCGUGGAGCUUUACUGUAGCCUGAUAUUGAAAUUCGGCACAGCUUGUACAGGAUAGGUAGGAGCCUUUGAAACGUGAGCGCUAGCUUACGUGGAGGCGCUGGUGGGAUACUACCCUAGCUGUGUUGGCUUUCUAACCCGCACCACUUAUCGUGGUGGGAGACAGUGUCAGGCGGGCAGUUUGACUGGGGCGGUCGCCUCCUAAAAGGUAACGGAGGCGCUCAAAGGUUCCCUCAGAAUGGUUGGAAAUCAUUCAUAGAGUGUAAAGGCAUAAGGGAGCUUGACUGCGAGACCUACAAGUCGAGCAGGGUCGAAAGACGGACUUAGUGAUCCGGUGGUUCCGCAUGGAAGGCCAUCGCUCAACGGAUAAAAGCUACCCCGGGGAUAACAGGCUUAUCUCCCCCAAGAGUUCACAUCGACGGGGAGGUUUGGCACCUCGAUGUCGGCUCAUCGCAUCCUGGGGCUGUAGUCGGUCCCAAGGGUUGGGCUGUUCGCCCAUUAAAGCGGUACGCGAGCUGGGUUCAGAACGUCGUGAGACAGUUCGGUCCCUAUCCGUCGUGGGCGUAGGAAAUUUGAGAGGAGCUGUCCUUAGUACGAGAGGACCGGGAUGGACAUACCUCUGGUGUACCAGUUGUCGUGCCAACGGCAUAGCUGGGUAGCUAUGUGUGGACGGGAUAAGUGCUGAAAGCAUCUAAGCAUGAAGCCCCCUCAAGAUGAGAUUUCCCAACUUCGGUUAUAAGAUCCCUCAAAGAUGAUGAGGUUAAUAGGUUCGAGGUGGAAGCAUGGUGACAUGUGGAGCUGACGAAUACUAAUCGAUCGAAGACUUAAUCAA